rnacentral:rRNA from 1 species
CCUACGGGAGGCUGCAGUGAGGAAUAUUGGUCAAUGGCCGAGAGACUGAACCAGCCAAGUCGCGUGAGGGAGGACGGCACUACGGGUUGUAAACCUCUUUUGUCGGGGAGCAAAGAGAGGCACGUGUGACUCAUUGAGAGUACCCGAAGAAAAAGCAUCGGCUAACUCCGUGCCAGCAGCCGCGGUAAUACGGAGGAUGCGAGCGUUAUCCGGAUUUAUUGGGUUUAAAGGGUGCGCAGGCGGAGGUGCAAGUCAGCGGUCAAAUUGCGGGGCUCAACCCCGUACUGCCGUUGAAACUGCAUGCCUUGAGUGGGCGAGAAGUAUGCGGAAUGCGUGGUGUAGCGGUGAAAUGCAUAGAUAUCACGCAGAACUCCGAUUGCGAAGGCAGCAUACCGGCGCGCAACUGACGCUCAGGCACGAAAGCGUGGGUAUCGAACAGGAUUAGAUACCCCUGUAGUC